GACGAACGCUGGCGGCGUGCUUAACACAUGCAAGUCGAACGGAAAGGCCCUGCUUUUGUGGGGUGCUCGAGUGGCGAACGGGUGAGUAACACGUGAGUAACCUGCCCUUGACUUUGGGAUAACUUCAGGAAACUGGGGCUAAUACCGGAUAGGAGCUCCUGCUGCAUGGUGGGGGUUGGAAAGUUUCGGCGGUUGGGGAUGGACUCGCGGCUUAUCAGCUUGUUGGUGGGGUAGUGGCUUACCAAGGCUUUGACGGGUAGCCGGCCUGAGAGGGUGACCGGCCACAAUGGGGCUGAGAGACGGCCCAGACUCCUACGGGAGGCAGCAGUGGGGAAUAUUGCACAAUGGGCGGAAGCCUGAUGCAGCAACGCCGCGUGCGGGAUGACGGCCUUCGGGUUGUAAACCGCUUUCGCCUGUGACGAAGCGUGAGUGACGGUAAUGGGUAAAGAAGCACCGGCUAACUACGUG
rnacentral:rRNA from 1 species